rnacentral:misc_RNA from 1 species
GAUGAAGAACGCAGCGAAAUGCGAUAAGUAAUGUGAAUUGCAGAAUUCAGUGAAUCAUCGAAUCUUUGAACGCACAUUGCGCCCGCCAGUAUUCUGGCGGGCAUGCCUGUCUGAGCGUCAUUUCAACCCUCAUGCCCCUAGGGCGUGGUGUUGGGGAUCGGCCAAAGCCCGCGAGGGACGGCCGGCCCCUAAAUCUAGUGGCGGACCCGUCGUGGCCUCCCCUGCGAAGUAGUGAUAUUCCGCAUAGGAGAGCGACGAGCCCCUGCCGUUAAACCCCCAACUUUCUCAGGUUGACCUCAGAUCAGGUAGGAAUACCCGCUGAACUUAAGCAUAUCAAUAAGCGGAGGA